rnacentral:rRNA from 1 species
AUUGAACGCUGGCGGCAUGCCUUACACAUGCAAGUCGAACGCGAAAGGGGGGCAACUCCUGAGUAGAGUGGCGCACGGGUAAGUAAUGCAUCGGAACGUGUCCUGUAGCGGGGGAUAACCUAGCGAAAGCUAGGCUAAUACCGCAUACGUCCUACGGGAGAAAGUGGGGGAUCGUAAGACCUCACACUAUAGGAGCGGCCGAUGCCGGAUUAGCUAGUUGGUGGGGUAAAAGCCUACCAAGGCGACGAUCCGUAGCGGGUCUGAAAGGGUGAUCAGCCACACGGGGACUGAGACACGGCCCAGACUCCUACGGGGGGCAGCAGUGGGGAAUUUUGGACAAUGGGGGAAACCCUGAUCCAGCCAUGCCGCGUGAGUGAAGAAGGCCUUCGGGUUGUAAAGCUCUUUCGGCCGGGACGAAAUCGCACGCGUGAAUAUCGCGUGUGGAUGACGGUACCGGAAGAAGAGGCACCGGCUAACUACGUGCCAGCAGCCGCCGUAA